CCUACGGGAGGCAGCAGUGGGGGAUAUUGCACAAUGGGGGAAACCCUGAUGCAGCGACGCCGCGUGUGGGAAGACGGUCCUCUGGAUUGUAAACCACUGUCCCCAGGGACGAAGAUGACGGUACCUGGGGAGGAAGCUCCGGCUAACUACGUGCCAGCAGCCGCGGUAAUACGUAGGGAGCGAGCGUUGUCCGGAAUUACUGGGUGAAAAGGGAGCGUAGGCGGGGAUGCAAGUUGGGUGUCAAGACUACCGGCUCAACUGGUAGUCGCACUCAAAACUGCAGCUCUUGAGUGAAGUAGAGGCGGGCGGAAUGCCUAGUGUAGCGGUGAAAUGCGUAGAUAUUAGGAGGAACACCAGUGGCGAAGGCGGCCUGCUGGGCUUUUACUGACGCUGAGGCUCGAAAGUGUGGGGAGCAAACAGGAUUAGAUACCCUUGUAGUC
rnacentral:rRNA from 1 species